UACUAUGCCUAGCCAAAACACGCAAUUAAACUACCAAUUGCCCGCCAAACAACUACGAGUUAAACUUAAAACUUAAAAGACUUGACGGUACUUCACCACGCCCUAGAGGAGCCUGUCCUAUAACCGACGACCCACGAUUAACCCAGCCCCCCCUUGCCUACAGUCUAUAUACCGCCGUCGCCAGCCUACCUUGUGAAAGAAAUAAAGUAGGCCAAACAGUGCCCACACUAAAACGACAGGUCGAGGUGUAACUCAUGAGGUGGACCCAGAUGGGCUACACUCUCACGCCCGAGAAUACAGAAAACACUACGAAAUUAGUCUUUAAAGGUGGAUUUAGCAGUAAGCUAGGAAUAAAACGCCCAACUGAACAUAACGCAAUGAAGUGCGUACACACCGCCCGUCAUCCCUGCUAACACAAUACUAAACCUUAAUAAAUAACCAAAAUAAACCAAACA
rnacentral:rRNA from 1 species